rfam:Tetraodon nigroviridis, WGS project CAAE01000000 data, contig: CNS0BVMD, chromosome: undetermined
GGGGAAUUAGCUCAAAUGGUAGAGCGCUCGCUUUGCAUGUGAGAAGUAGUGAGAUCGAUGCCCACAUUCUCCA